rnacentral:ncRNA from 1 species
GAAAAGUACCCCGGGAGGGGAGUGAAAUAGUACCUGAAACCGGGCGCUUGCAAGCCGUCAGAGCUCUUCGCGCACUGUUGUGUGUGGGGGGUGGUGGCGUGCCUUUUGAAGAAUGAGCCUGCGAGUCAGUGGCGUGUCGCGAGGUUAACCCGUGUGGGGUAGUCGUAGCGAGAGCGAGUCCGAAGAGGGCGAGUGAGUGGCGCGUUCUGGACCCGAAGCGGGGUGAUCUACCCAUGGCCAGGUUGAAGCACGUGUAAGAGCGUGUGGAGGACCGAACCCACCUAGGUUGAAAACUGGGGGGAUGAGCUGUGGGUAGGGGUGAAAGGCCAAUCAAACUCCGUGAUAGCUGGUUCUCCCCGAAAUGCAUUUAGGUGCAGCGUCGUGUGUUGCCCGGCGGAGGUAGAGCUACUGGGUGGCUGAUGGGCCCCACAGGGUUACUGACGUCAACCAAACUCCGAAUGCCGUCUGGGUUGAGUGCGGCAGUGAGACUGCGGGGGAUAAGCUCCGUGGUCGAGAGGGAAACAGCCCGGAUCGCCGGCUAAGGCCCCUAAGCGUGUGCUAAGUGGGAAAGGAUGUGCGGUCGCGCAGACAACCAGGAGGUUGGCUUAGAAGCAGCCAUCCUUGAAAGAGUGCGUAAUAGCUCACUGGUCAAGUGAUCGUGCGCCGACAAUGUAGCGGGGCUCAAGCACACCGCCGAAGCCGCGGACCUGCAGCGUGUUCCUUUCAUCUUCCCACGUGUUGGGUGGUGGCAGGGGUUGUGGGUGGUAGGGGAGCGUCCUGCACUGGGGGAAGCCUGUGGGUGACUGCUGGUGGACGGUGCGGGAGUGAGAAUGCAGGCAUGAGUAGCGAUACUAGGGUGAGAAGCCCUAGCGCCGAAUGACCAAGGGUUCCAGGGCCAGGCUAGUCCGCCCUGGGUGAGUCGGGACCUAAGGCGAGGCCGACAGGCGUAGUCGAUGGAUGACGGGUUGAUAUUCCCGUACCGGCGAAGCACCGCCCAUGCUGACGCGCGGGUGCUAACCCACGCCCGGCCGCCAUAAUAGCCGC